CAAGGAUGACACAAAGGAGCAGGAGAAAGACUCCUGAACAGGAUGCAAUAGACCAUAUAAUUCUGGGCAGAGACAAACCCUUCCUAGAGGCCAGGUUCAUCAACACGUUUAAAGGACGUGGUGUUUUUACACGGGAAUAUAUUGCACCGUCAACUUUUGUGGUGGAGUACCGUGGAAUAUUGGGUGUAAGUGAAGAUCUAGAUGUCAAAAAUAACAUCUUCUUAUUCGAUUUCAUCUGGUCUGGAAUGCACUUUUGUAUUAAUGCUUCAAAAGAGGAUGGAACACUUGGACGUCUUGCAAAUGAUAAUCACAGGAAUCCAAACUGCAGAGUGAAAAAAAUCGUUGUCAAGGGAACCCC